CAUUUACUGACAUUAACGUGGAAAACAGCCAAUUCAAUAUUUAUGAUAUUGCAGGUGUAGCUGCAGUAGAUAUUUUAUCAUAUGCUUUGCAAUUAGGGUUUAUUAAAACAUAUUGAAUCUGAAAAAAAGACUCUGUUCUUAGCAUUACAUGUGGAAACCAUAAAGGGAUUGAGAAGCACUGAUUGCCAACAUAUAUAUGUCACCUGUGUAUGAUAAAUCAAUUAGACACCAUUUGGAGCAUCCCAAAAAAUCUUGUUAUAUUUCAAAUAAAUUGUACCCCAUAUCUCCUUUAUGCCUUUCUAUGGCAGUACAAGGAAUAUAACAGUUUAGCAGCAGAUUCCUAUUUAUAUUUGGAGCUUGAUUGUGCCUUUAGUCAGCCCUGAGCAAAGAGUGGUGCACCUUCUCAGGAGCCCCAGGAGGUACCAUGCCACAACAACCCCUGUCUGAGACAGAAUUCCCUCCCUGCUUCCCCCUUGCUACAGGGGAGGUCAUAAUUUACUCUUGGCCUAUAGCUAAGGGAAUUUACGACACCACCUGUGUGGUUCAGCUGUGCUGGUUGAUGCACUGGGGAGGGAUGGAAACUCUCUCUGCCCCUUUGCUUCAGGUGCAUGCAGCACACCUUACUCCAGCACACCCAGACCCAAAGCUCAGCUAUUCCAUGCAGAGGUCUAAAGGGGUAACUCACUCCUCCUAAUUUCGCUGUGUGGGCCUGUAGUCCAAGCCAAAAUCUCAUCCUUUCCAUUUUAAAUAGUAUGGAGUUUUAUCUUUCCAACAGUCAAGACAUACAGAGGCCACUUCAAAUAAUAUGAGCCUCAUCCUCAUGCCCUUCCUCAAACAGAUCAAGAUUGGAGACUCAGGUUCUGUAACAGUAAUGGAGUUUGAAUGGCGAAAUCAAGCCUUAAUAUGUGACAGCAACUACGGGUGAGAGCACGUAACAGGCCCCUGCUUUAAGGUACUAGAACUAUUGAAAUGAAGAGAUGUGCUGUACAAUGAAACAACAGAUUCUUUCCUGGAUUUAACGGAGCUCUGACUGGUUGGUCACAAGACCUGGCUAUGCAAAUAAAACCAUGAUGAAAUCUUCGCAAAAAUGCUGGAUAGAUUUACCUGAAACACUCUAAGCAAGGUCUGCUUACCA